rnacentral:rRNA from 1 species
UACGUAGGGGGCUAGCGUUAUCCGGAAUUACUGGGCGUAAAGGGUGCGUAGGUGGUUUCUUAAGUCAGAGGUGAAAGGCUACGGCUCAACCGUAGUAAGCCUUUGAAACUGGGGAACUUGAGUGCAGGAGAGGAGAGUGGAAUUCCUAGUGUAGCGGUGAAAUGCGAAGAUAUUAGGAGGAACACCAGUUGCGAAGGCGGCUUUCUGGACUGUAACUGACACUGAGGCACGAAAGCGUGGGGAGCAAACAGG